rnacentral:rRNA from 1 species
AUCCUGGCUCAGGACGAACGCUGGCGGCGUGCCUAACACAUGCAAGUCGAACGGAACUGUUUUGAAAGAUUUCUUCGGAAUGAAUUUGAUUUAGUUUAGUGGCGGACGGGUGAGUAACGCGUGAGUAACCUGCCUUCAAGAGGGGGAUAACAUUCUGAAAAGAAUGCUAAUACCGCAUGACAUAUCGGAACCACAUGGUUUUGAUAUCAAAGAUUUUAUCGCUUGAAGAUGGACUCGCGUCCGAUUAGUUAGUUGGUGAGGUAACGGCUCACCAAGACCGCGAUCGGUAGCCGGACUGAGAGGUUGAACGGCCACAUUGGGACUGAGACACGGCCCAGACUCCUACGGGAGGCAGCAGUGGGGGAUAUUGCGCAAUGGGGGCAACCCUGACGCAGCAACGCCGCGUGAAGGAUGAAGGUUUUCGGAUUGUAAACUUCUUUUAUUAAGGACGAAAAUUGACGGUACUUAAUGAAUAAGCUCCGGCUAACUACGUGCCAGCAGCCGCGGUAAUACGUAGGGAGCAAGCGUUGUCCGGAUUUACUGGGUGUAAAGGGUGCGUAGGCGGCUUUGCAAGUCAGAUGUGAAAUCUAUGGGCUCAACCCAUAAACUGCAUUUGAAACUGUAGAGCUUGAGUGAAGUAGAGGCAGGCGGAAUUCCCCGUGUAGCGGUGAAAUGCGUAGAGAUGGGGAGGAACACCAGUGGCGAAGGCGGCCUGCUGGGCUUUAACUGACGCUGAGGCACGAAAGCGUGGGUAGCAAACAGGAUUAGAUACCCUGGUAGUCCACGCUGUAAACGAU